AUGUCUAAGCUCAACAUCUAUCGGAGCCACACAUGGACAUCUCUCCCUCCUCGACUCAGAGCAAAAAAUGAACACAUACCAGGUCUGACUUGGAAUUUUGGAUGGAACCAUGCGGUUCUUCGCAAGCUGCUUUGGAAUGCACUACCACCAAUGGCUUUCUUCGACGUGAUAAAGAGUUUAGUUGGCGACCCGGCAUUUUGGUUGAUGCCUACUAUCAUUGAGGGUGUCCUUAGACAACAUCCAGCAUCCUCCCACCCAGGGAAGACAGUCCUCACACCUACACAGGUCUUUCCUCACCAGAAAACACUCUUCCAGAGAGGUGCGCUAAUCCGUUUCCCACCUCCCACACUCUUCUGCAUGUUCUGGCUUAUGCCAAGACCCAGGAGGAAAUUAAAAUUUCCUCUGAAUUGAAACUUUACCUUCUCCAAACUGCUGGAUCCCUCACUGGCCCGUGGCGUGAGCCAGGAGUGCUGGUUUAUCAUAUGACAUUGUGGCUGUUGAUGGGGGUGCACUCCCCCAGCUCAGGAACCAUGAUGAUAUGGCCCCAGGCCUCCAGCUACACUGGGAUUCCUGAGUUCCCUGAUGUAAGAACCAGCCUCCAAGGGCAUGAGCUGCACUCCCUACAGCAGGAGAGUAUGUACUUCCUCACCCUCACACUGGGUACAGCUUUCUGUAGCUUGUAUUGGCCUAGUUUUGAGGCUCCAACUGGAGACCCAUAAGUAACUCUACUUGAGCAGCUGGUUAGUUCCACACCCAGCCAUUCCUCCUGUGUGCUGGGCUCUCAUGCUCUAGCCCCAGGCCAGAGGCCAGGCAGCUUGGGACAGCCCCUCUGCCCGACAGCCUACUGACAUGGUUCAAACUAACCAAUCCCAAGCCUGCCCACCCUGCUUCACCUGUUCCAUCCCAUGGAAACCCCAAGAUAGGUCCUUGUCCACAUUUUCUCUUCAUCUCCUCUGCCUCUCCACCUUAGUCUCCUGACUAAGGUGGCCCUCAGUGGUGCAGACCCCCUCCUGUGGGGACCUUGGAGAAUAAUAAAAUCUCUUUGCAAUGUAAGUCAUCUUCUGAUCUGUUGACCUCAAUUUGAAGACACAUACAUGUCUCCACACCAAACACCCAUUGAAAUAAUGAGAGUUUUCACAAUACCAAAGAUUACGUACAUACAUGAGUCUGUGACUCUGACAAUGGGGUGCAUGAGUUGAAAGAGAGAAACCUUAAUGUGUAGAGUAAACCCCUUCGAGUGCAGAGAUGAUGAAGGUGUGUUUGAAGAAAGAAUUGAUAAACAAGAUCUGAUUCAUAGUUCACCUGCUGGGAAGGCAGACAAAUCCUCCCUUUAUGGAAUAUGAGUCACAGAAAGCCUUUGGAAGGCCAGUCUUAUUAACCCUCACCAUGAACACACAAAUUGAGGGCUGUUAUCUCCUUAUUAGAGACUUAGAAAUGGAGGCUUAAGAAAUGUAGGUAGUUUCUUAACGUCACAAAGUAAGUAAGUGUAGUCAGCCAAGUCUGACUCACUGCUGCCAUUAAAAAAUGCAACAUUAGCACGUCUAGGUUUCUGCAGACAUUUUUGCAAAAUAGGAGUUGGGUAUGGAAGCCAAAAUUCACAGUCUCAAGUUGAACAUGGAAAAAAAAAAAAGAAAAGUCCUUAAGAAGAUGCAAGAAUUGGAAACUCAUCUAAAGAGAGAAGAAAUUGUAAAGUGUGCUGGGUUUGGUAGGAGCAAAUGAGAUCUCCACAUCCUCACAGAAAAGUCAAGGGCUCUGGUCCCUUUGAAGCAUGUUUACUUUAUCUGUGAACGAUGUAAGCCUCUAAAAUGUAAGGCCAAAGGUAGGAAACCGCUGUUAAGAAACGUCUAGUUUUCUGUCUUGUCCUGCCAGUUUUAAGCAAUUCAAGUUUUGACCUUGUUAUUUCCACCCUGAGGACAUUGUACAUAAAAUGUGCAACUGUCAUGAUCUCGAUGGAUUCUUUUCCAUUAAAACUCCUGUCUAUAGCCACUAAUUCUUUGAUCAAAGGCUUUGCAGCACAGGGAAAAUACUUUGAAAUUUUCACCUUAUUUGUAGCCCACUAAUUUCAGUUCUUUUCUGUCUUAAUUUUAUAGAAAGUACAGAUUUAUCAAUCCUGCUCUGUGCAGUGUCAUAUACUAUGUUCCUGAGUCUAGUUUUUGUCAUGGUGCCUUGUUUGACAUGAGGACAUUCCUCUCCUCAAUUGGUUAACAAGAAUCCAAAGUCCUGAGGGUUCAGAUUUGUCCAUUUUUGCCUGGUAAACUCUUCUAUUAUGUGCUGUUUAAUUUCUUGUCAGUAUUAUUUCAGGUCAAUUAUUUCUAUCAAUUAUAAAAAUUUCCAUAUUUUGAUAAUAUCAAAGAUAUUAUCAUCAAAAUUAUCAAAAUAUUAUCAAAUAUCAAAAAUAUUAUCAUCAAAGAAUUCUUCUACUGGCACAAAUUACUACAAAUUGGUUAGUUUUAGGUGUGCCUGGCAUCGUGUUUUUAUGACAAAUAUUCUAAGCUGUUCAUAAAUGAUUAUUUGCCUUGAUAAAAGUUUCCAUAUGCAUUUUCUUCAGAUGAGAAAAAAAAAGCUUUAUAGACCCAAAUACAGCAAAAUAGAACUCUAAUUUCAUGACAUAGUAAUUGUUGGAAACAACGUCAUGCCAUCUGCCAACUCUUGAUCAAGAGAGUAGCCUCGGACAUGAACCAUCUCCUUGUAGGAAACAGGAGCUCUCCUAGCCUGUGCUGCCUUUCACCUUAUUUGGGACUGUUUUCUCCUAUUCCCAGCUUGACAUUCAAUUCUUUGUUCUGAUUCAGUGUGUGUAGGUGUCAUGUGGCACGUGGCCAGUCCCACUGCUCUACCUUCUUCCCACCGGUGAGGAAAUGGUGUGCUCCCCUUGCAGCUGAGAGGGGUGCAUGAAUACCAUGGCCAUGAAUGGGCUAAGGGGUGAGACAUGCUCCCUACUAAAGCUGUUCUUGCCCUGUCCCUUAUUUCGGGAGGAAAGCCUUGCUCCAUUCAGUGCCUGUGUGGGUCGUGUCUUCCUGGGCAGCCCAGGUUCAUGGAAACCCAAUGGUGACUGAUGACCUGGACUGCAGCUCUUGUGAGUAGAAUCUGCCAUAAGGGGCCUCCCCCCCCCCAGGAGUGGAGCAGGUGUCACUUUCUUGGCAGGAUGACAAGACUGCAUCUUUGUUUGAACUGCCUUGAG
ensembl:lincRNA